rnacentral:piRNA from 1 species
UAAGUCAGCAGCUGGGUGAGGU